rnacentral:ncRNA from 1 species
AUAAAAUAAUUAUAUUUUUAUAAAUUUAUUAUAAAUUUAUUUUACAUAUAAAUUUUAGUAUAUAAUUUUAAUUAUUUAAAUAAUAAUUAAUUUAAAUUUUAAUAAGUAGUAAUUAAUAUUAAAAAUUUAAGAAAUUAAGAUUUAGUAAUAUUAAAAUUAAUAACUAAUUUUGUGCCAGCAGUUGCGGUUAAACAAAAGUUAAAUUAAAUUAUUUCAGUUUAUAAUAAAUAAAAUAUUUCAUUAAAAUAAAUAUUGAAUUAUUAAGUGAAAUUUUAAUUUAAUUAAAUUUUAUAUAAUUAUUAUGAUUUAAUAAAUUUUAAUAUAAACUAGGAUUAGAUACCCUAUUAUUAAAAAUUUAAUUUAUAAUACUAAAAUAGUAAAUAAUAAUUUAUUGAAACUUAAAUAAUAUGGCGGUAUUUUAGUUCAUUUAGAGGAAUCUGUCUAAUAAUUGAUAAUCCACGAAUAAAUUUACUUAAUUUAUAAUUUUGUAUAUCAUUGUUAAAAAAAUAUUUUUUAGUAAAAAUAAUAUUUAAAUUUUAUUAAAGAAAUUAAAUCAGAUCAAGAUGCAGAAUAUAAUUAAGAAUAUGAUGGAUUACAUUAAAUAUAUUUAAAUGAAUAGUUUUUUGUAAUAUAAAUUUGAAGGUGGAUUUAAAUGUAAUUUUAAUUAGUUUAUUAAAAUGAUUAAUAAUUAAAAUAUGUACAUAUUGCCCGUCACUUUCAUUUAAAAAUUGAAAUAAGUCGUAACAAAGUAGAGGUACUGGAAAGUGUUUCUAGAAAGA